rnacentral:rRNA from 1 species
UACGUAGGUGGCAAGCGUUUGUCCGGAUUUACUGGGCGUAAAGAGCGCGCAGGCGGUUGUGCAAGUCGCGUGUGAAAGCCCCCGGCUCAACUGGGGAGGGUCACGCGAUACUGUUCGACUUGAAGGCAGGAGAGGGAAGUGGAAUUCCCGGUGUAGUGGUGAAAUGCGUAGAUAUCGGGAGGAACACCAGUGGCGAAGGCGACUUCCUGGCCUGUUCUUGACGCUGAGGCGCGAAAGCUAGGGUAGCAAACGGG